rnacentral:rRNA from 1 species
UACGGGGGGGGCAAGCGUUGUUCGGAAUUACGGGGCGUAAAGGGCUCGUAGGCGGCCAACUAAGUCGGAUGUGAAAUCCCCAGGCUUAACUUGGGAACUGCAUCCGAUACUGGAUGGCUUGAAUCCGGGAGAGGGAUGCGGAAUUCCAGGUGUAGCGGUGAAAUGCGUAGAUAUCUGGAGGAACACCGGUGGCGAAGGCGGCAUCCUGGACCGGCAUUGACGCUGAGGAGCGAAAGCCAGGGGAGCAAACGGG